rnacentral:misc_RNA from 1 species
GAUGAAGAACGUAGCGAAAUGCGAUAAGUAAUGUGAAUUGCAGAAUUCAGUGAAUCAUCGAAUCUUUGAACGCAUCUUGCGCUCCUUGGUAUUCCUUGGAGCAUGCCUGUUUGAGUAUCAUGAGCAAAUCUCAAAGUCAAUUCCUUUUGUUAAUUCAAUUGGUUUUGCUUUGGACUUGGAGGUCUUGCAGAUUUUCACAGUCUGCUCCUCUUAAAUGCAUUAGCUGGAUCUCAGUAAUUAUGCUUGGUUCCACUCGGCGUGAUAAGUAUCACUCGCUGAGGACACUGUUAAAAAGGUGGCAAGGAAAAUACUGAUUGAACCGCUUCUAACGGUCUAUUAAGUUAGACAAUUACCCUUAAGUUUGAUCUCAAAUCAGGUAGGACUACCCGCUGAACUUAAGCAUAUCAAUAAGCGGAGGA